AAUAACUCAAUUCCUGAGUUUCCGUGUCCAACAUUUGACCGUCCGUCUUAUUUGAAAAAAUUAUGAAAAAAUUUAAAAAGAUAAAUCAUGUAUAAAGUACUAUUUAUGUUUUAUCAUUUAACAACAAUGAAAAUACUAAUCAUAAAAAAGUUUCAUAUAAGACGGAUAGUCAAACGUAGGACACGAAAACCUAGGAAUUGAGUCUUU
rnacentral:pre_miRNA from 1 species